rnacentral:rRNA from 1 species
CGGCGUGGUUAAGACAUGCAAGUGGAACGCGAAUUUCAGGGUAGCAAUAUUCUGAAGUUGGAGUGGCGCAAGGGUGCGUAACACGUGGGUAAUUUGCCGUGAAGUUGGGGAUAACUCGCUGAAAGGCGAGCUAAUACCGAAUGUGACAAUUGGAAGGCAUCUUCCGAUUUUCAAAGUUGGGGACCGUAAGGCCUGACGCUUCACGAUAAGCCCGCGGCCUAUCAGCUAGUUGGUGAGGUAACGGCUCACCAAGGCUAAGACGGGUAGCUGGUCUGAGAGGACGACCAGUCACACUGGAACUGAGACACGGUCCAGACACCUACGGGUGGCAGCAGUCGAGAAUUUUUCUCAAUGGGCGAAAGCCUGAAAAGGCGACGCCGCGUGGGGGAUGAAGGGCUUCGGCUCGUAAAGGGCUGUCAUUUGCGAACAAACCUUACGUUGAACAG